GCCGAUUUAGCUCAGUGGUAGAGCACCUCCAUGGUAAGGAGGGGGUCGCUGGUUCAAAUCCAGUCAUCGGCU
rnacentral:tRNA from 1 species